rnacentral:misc_RNA from 1 species
GAUGAAGAACGCAGCGAAACGCGAUAGGUAAUGUGAAUUGCAGAAUUCCGUGAAUCAUCGAAUCUUUGAACGCACAUUGCGCCCCUUGGUAUCCCGAGGGGCAUGCCUGUUCGAGCGUCAUUUCACCACUCAAGCCUGGCUUGGUGUUGGGCGACGUCCUCUUUGGGGACGCGCCUCGAAACGCUCGGCGGCGUGGCACCGGCUUUAAGCGUAGCAGAAUCUUUCGCUUUGGAAGUCGGGGCCCCGUCUGCCGGAAGACCUGCUCGCAAGGUUGACCUCGGAUCAGGCAGGGAUACCCGCUGAACUUAAGCAUAUCAAUAAGCGGAGGA